CCUUCACUAGACGACCCUGCAUUGCUUCGUUCAAGAUCAGCGGUUUUGACUGCGCACUGGUAAUUGUACAUCUGAAGGCAACCGGUUUGGAGAAUGAGGACAUCGGUCGACUGCAGGCAGAGAUUGACAAUAUCCCCAACCUUAUAGAGGCCAUUAGGACUGCUCUGCCAGGGGAAAAUGAUAUUAUACUGCUUGGUGACUUUAACCUGUCUCCAGAUACCAAAGAUUUUUAUGCUCUUCGAAAUCUAGGCUAUCACAAUUGUAUUGCGGACGGUGUCUUCACAAACAUAAGCGACGCCAACAAAAAAGGCAGCAAGACAUACGAUAAUAUCUGGAUAUCUAAACAGACAAAACAAGUGUUCACUGGUCAAUGUGACGUCGUGAGAGAGGGCCUGUCCAGUCCCUGGAUCCCUAAGGGCUGGACGUGGGGCGGGGUUGUGAGUGACCACUGUCCAGUGUGGGCCCAGUUCUACACGGGCCGUGACCUUGACACUGGAGACCUGAAAAUCGGACCAGAGGUUAUUAAAUUUGUACUGACUGACUGAUGUUUUGUAAAAUAUUAGAAUAUUACACAUGUUACUCUGGUUAUGUGACAGACAUCAUUGAUAUCGAAUUGGUGAUGCAAUUCUUCAAACAGUAAACAGUGAAAAUAUUCCACACUUUUCAUUAUGUUAUUGCUGUGAAAAUCGCCAUUUAAACUACUUUAAAAUGGAAGCCAAUAAUAAACCUAUAAGACAAAAUUAACAAGCGAUUGAACAUUUUUGUGUUUUAAUAUCAGAAAUAUUCUCUUGGUCAAAUGUUAACAAUUUAUUUAGCAAAUUUGUUCAACAUGUUAUGGUACGUGAAGUUUGGAGAUGUUGAUGUUAUUUUAUGUUUUGAUGUACUGCUGAUUUCACAUUAGGUGUACCAUUCUUGUGAAUGUGGAAAAUAGUGAAUGCAACAUUUGUUUUUAAGUAGAUUAUGUGUUCAUUGUUAUAGUAAAACUCUCAAUUCACAACAUAUGAACCAAUAAACCAUAUUUUAUUACUUACACGUGAAUGUCUACCGCUAAUUAUAAUUCUUAAAAGUUUUGCUUUAAUGUCAGAAAUAUUUUGUAUAAUUCUUAUUUCAAUAUAGCUUACAAUACCGAUUAGUUUGUGUUAAUAUGUUUGAAUACACAAAACAAAUUAUAUUUAUUAUAUUAUCAAAAUUUGAUAACGUUUUGUUGUUUUAACUUUGAUAUAGCAUUUCUGCUGAAUUUCACCAUUCUUGGGAAUGUGGAAAAUAGUGAAUGCCACAUUUGUUUUCAAGUAGUUUGUGUGUUCAUUGUUAUAGUAAAACGCUCUUUUCACAACAUAUGAACAAAUAAACCAUCUUUAAUUACUUGCACAUGAAUGUAUACGAUAAUUAUAAUUGUUAUAAGUUUUGCUUUAAUGUCAGAAAUAUUUUGUAUAAUUCUUAUUUCAAUGUAGCUUACAAAACCAUUUAGAUUGUGUUGAUAUGUUUGAAUACACAAAACAAAUUAUAUUUAUUAUAUUAUCAAAAUUUGAUAAGGUUUUGUUGUUUUAACUUUAAUAUUGCAUUUCUGCUGAAUUUCACCAGUUUGUAUUAUUACUUGCUUCAUUUUAAUAAUUUAAUGAUCAAAAUAUUUUAUGAUAGCAUUUUUCGAUUGUGCAUUGUGAAGUUUCAAUUUUAUGCAGUGCAGUGUAGAGCGGAAAAUGCAAAUUUUUAAGAAGCACCCGUUAAAUGCAUAAUUGUCAACAUUUAUUUGAUCCUGUGUAUUUAAUAUUUAUAAAUGAUAUUAUGUCUUAUUGAAAUAUGUAAUAAUAUGUAUAUAGUUCCCUGUAUGAAUUUGUUAUAGAUUAAAAUGAAAUGUUCUGUUUCAUUUGGGAAUAUUUCAUAGACUACCAUGUUUUUGUCUGUUUAAAUUAAUUGUAUACAUUGUUGUAUUUUGAACAAUAUUAACAUUAGUAUUAAAUGAGCGUCUAGCAAUAGCCAAAAGUAUGUAUCGGGAUAAACUUAUUUUAUUUGGGUUCAUUAACAUUCAAGUAGAACAAGUAGAAUGCAUUUUUAAGGUGUUUAUUAUUAGUAUGUACCGUAGGACUUUAAGAUAAUAUUAUUUUCAAUAAUGUAGUUGUAUUUUGCUAUUGUUUGUUAUUGCUAAAUAAAAAUUAGAGUUUGAUAUAGAUAAUACUGGGACAAUGCUACAUAUAUAUGCCUAACAGAAUGUGUCCUGCAUUUAGAAAGUGACUUCAUAUAAACAUACUUGAGCUGUGAUUUGGAAAAAUAUGUAUUCAAUACAUGUGCGUAUAGGAUUGCCCCAGAUGAGUCUUAUGAAGUCUACGAGCGCUAAUAAGGGACGACAGUUUCUCUUGCUUUUAUUAAAUUUCAGUCUUCAGAAGUAAAUUAGGGGCCAUUCGUUAUAGGUCAAUAUUUAUGCAUCUAAAACUUGAGAAUAAGCAGCAACAGUUUAUGUUCUUUGAUCAAUUACUUAUGAUUGGAUUGAGAUAAUGUGCUGAAGAUUUGUGGAAGUGUAUACCCAGCUUACAUACCCUACCUGGAUUCCAUUUCGAGCCAGUUGGGUUAAAGUCUAUGUCACUAUUAUUAAAAUUAGACAAACUACACUCAGUAACACCGCUUUUAUAUUAGGGUAUUGUUCCUAAAUUGUAUGAAUUGUUAGCUCACUGCUUUUAUAUUAGGGUAUUGUUCCUAAAUUGUAUGAACUGUUAGCUCACCGCUUUUAUAUUAGGGUAUUGUUCCUAAAUUGUAUGAACUGUUAGCUCACCGCUUUUAUAUUAGGGUAUUGUUCCUAAAUUGUAUGAAUUGUUAGCUCACCGCUUUUAUAUUAGGGUAUUGUUCCUAAAUUGUAUGAAUUGUUAGCUCACCGCUUUUAUAUUAGGGUAUUGUUCCUAAAUUGUAUGAAUUGUUAGCUCACCGCUUUAAUAUUAGGGUAUUGUUCCUAAAUUGUAUGAAUUGUAAGCUCACCGCUUUUAUAUUAGGGUAUUGUUCCUAAAUUGUAUGAAUUGUUAGCUUACGUGUAGGCCUAGCUUGGGAAAACUAGAUACAAGUCAAAGUCACUGUAAGUUAAUUAAAAAAUUCCGCUUACAUAACUUAAAUUGUAUGAAGAAUUUCCGCUGUUUUUUGUAGGUGUAGGUAGAUUCCACGCAGUCUUAGGUGAUGUAAGCGUGUAUUUCAAUCCCUCUGACACCUUACAUGUAAAACAUAAUUAGUUUGCAUUAUAUUUAAUUGAGUCUUAUAAUGUCAGCAUAUUGUUCCUACUGAAAAUGUUAUUCAGGACAGUGUAAAUUACAAAAUAUUGUUACUUGUCUUUUAUUCAAGAAAAUACUGUGGGUAUACCACGUACACUACUUUAUGUAUGGACCCACCUUUUGUCUUCUUGAUCUCGACUGCUCAGUAUACAUGUUAUUCUUAUACUUAUUUCUUAUUGCAUUUUAUAAAUGUUGUAUUGAUGAGGAAGAUCAAAUGUUCAUUAUACUGUCUUGAACAAGUUUAGGUUACAGCUAAUUUCAUAAAACAAAAUUGCCACAUA